CCUACGGGAGGCUGCAGUGAGGAAUAUUGGUCAAUGGUCGGGAGACUGAACCAGCCAAGCCGCGUGAGGGAUGAAGGUACAGAGUAUCGUAAACCUCUUUUGUCAGGGAACAAAGGCGGGGACGUGUCCCCGGAUGAGUGUACCUGAAGAAAAAGCAUCGGCUAACUCCGUGCCAGCAGCCGCGGUAAUACGGAGGAUGCGAGCGUUAUCCGGAUUUAUUGGGUUUAAAGGGUGCGUAGGUUGUUUUUUAAGUCAGCGGUGAAAGUUUGUGGCUCAACCAUAAAAUUGCCGUUGAAACUGGAAGACUUGAGUGUGUUUGAGGUAGGCGGAAUGCGUGGUGUAGCGGUGAAAUGCAUAGAUAUCACGCAGAACUCCGAUUGCGAAGGCAGCUUACUAAGCCAUAACUGACACUGAAGCACGAAAGCGUGGGGAUCAAACAGGAUUAGAUACCCCUGUAGUC
rnacentral:rRNA from 1 species